UGGGGAAUAUUGGACAAUGGGCGGAAGCCUGAUCCAGCAACGCCGCGUGAGGGAUGACGGCCUUCGGGUUGUAAACCUCUUUCAGUACCGACGAAGCGAAAGUGACGGUAGGUACAGAAGAAGGACCGGCCAACUACGUGCCAGCAGCCGCGGUAAUACGUAGGGUCCGAGCGUUGUCCGGAAUUAUUGGGCGUAAAGGGCUCGUAGGCGGUUUGUCGCGUCGGGAGUGAAAACAGCGGGCUUAACUCGUUGCUUGCUUUCGAUACGGGGCAGACUAGAGGUAUGCAGGGGAGAAUGGAAUUCCUGGUGUAGCGGUGAAAUGCGCAGAUAUCAGGAGGAACACCGGUGGCGAAGGCGGUUCUCUGGGCAUUACCUGACGCUGAGGAGCGAAAGUGUGGGGAGCGAACAGGAUUAGAUACCCCUGGUAGUCCACACCGUAAACGUUGGGCGCUAGGUGUGGGGUCCUUUCCACGGAUUCCGUGCCGU
rnacentral:rRNA from 1 species